AGUGUUCUUCCGAUCUGCCAUUCGCAGUUUCAUAGUUCAAAUUGGUUCAUACUUGCACAUGCAUGGCUUAAUCUUUGAGACAAGCAUAUGACUACUGGCAGGAUCAACCAC